AUGUCGAUCUCGUUCUCGCAAGAGCUGCUCAUCUCCACACUCGCCAUCAUUCUUGUUCCCCUCUACAUGUUGUACCUCAGGUCUAGUAGACCAAAGAACCCACCAGCGCUCCCCACAAACUGGCCAAUAGUGGGCGUGUUCCCUUACCUUAUUGCCAACUUCCACAACCUGCACGACUACCUCGCCGCCGUCCUCGCCAAAGCAGGCCACAACUUCAGGGCGCACGGCCCGCCGGGGACCGGGUUGCGGUUCUUCAUCACAUGCGAGCCGGCCAACGUCCGGCACAUCUUCACGACGAACCACGCAAACUUCCCCAAGGGCGCGGAGUUCGCCGCCAUCUUUGACAUCGCCGGUGGCAGCUUCUUCACGACUGAAGGCGAGCCCUGGCGUCGGCAGCGGGCAAGAGCCCAGAGAGUCUUGAGCAACCCACGGUUGCUUGUCCGUAUGACCGCUUGCUGCCGUGACAAGGUGGAGAAUGGCCUCCUCCCGGUGCUUAUGCACAUGGCGACCGCCGCGACCCCGUUCGACCUGCAAGAUUUGACAACGAGGCUCGUGUUCGACAUGACCGCCGCGCCUCUCUUCGGCGUGGACCCUGGCCUCCUCUCCCCGGACAUGCCCCCCAUGGACGCAGCGGCCGCCAUGGACACGGUCAUGGAGGUGGCCUUGUUCCGGCACACCGUGCCGGCCUCUUGCUGGAAGGCGAUGAGGCGGCUAAACAUCGGCCCGGAAAGGAAGCUCGCCGCAGCGCACACGGUUCUAGGUGGGUUCAUUGAGGAGAUGGUGGAGAGGAGGAAGAAGGAACAUGUUGCAAACGAGGGAGAUCCUUCUUCCGUGGACAUUCUGUCUUCCUACAUCGACGAUCCAGACUACCAGCAGAACGAUGGCUUGCUCCACGCGACGCUCAUCAACUACAUGAUCGCUGGGAGGGACACGAUCGGCACAGCUUUGACAUGGGUCUUCUACAACCUCGCCCAAAACCCUCAUGUCAUGUCGGCCAUCCGCAACGAACUAUCACCCAUCGCAUCACGGAAAGCAGCCACAGGCGCCAACAACAGCAGCACCAUGGUAAUCUUUGAACCGGAGGAGACCAAAUCUCUCGUCUACAUGAGAGCCGCCCUACACGAGUCUCUCAGGUUGCAUCCGCCGGUCCCCAUCGAGCGUAAGACGGCGGUCGCCAACGACGCGAUGCCGACUGGCCAUGUAGUGCACGCCGGUGACACCUUAUUGAUUUCUCUCCACUCCAUGGGGAGAAUGGAAGGCGUGUGGGGGAAAGACUGCCUGGAGUAUAACCCGGAUAGAUGGCUCUCAGAGGAUGGCAAGAAGCUGCGGUACGUGCCGUCUCACAAAUUUUUGGCAUUCAGCUCGGGCCCGAGGCUGUGCCUUGGCAAGGACAUCUCAUUUAUGCAGAUGAAUACUAUUGUUGCGGCCAUGGUGUGGAACUUCGACAUGGAGGUGGUUGAAGGGCAGAGAGUCCAGCCGAAGAUGUCUUGUGUGCUGCAGAUGAAAAAUGGACUCAUAGUGAAGUUGAAGAAGCGAGAUAUGUAA
rnacentral:rRNA from 1 species